CGCUCGGGAAAGGGGAAAGGCAGAAAGGAAUCCGUGCUCCAGCAGGGCCGGAAACGGGACAGCCAGGCUGGGGCACUGCCGGCUCACCCUGCACCACCCCGAAGCGGGGGCGCUGACAGCGGUGGGAAUGGGGAGGGGAUGGAUGGUGGGAAUGGGGAUGGAUGGUGGGAAUGGAGAGGGGAUGGAUGGUGGGCAUGGAGAGGGGAUGGAUGGUGGGCAUGGGGAUGGAUGGUGGGAAUGGGGAUGGAUGGUGGGCAUGGGGAGGGGAUGGAUGGUGGGCAUGGGGAGGAAUGGUGUGUACGGGGAUGGAUGGUGAGCAUGAGGAUGGGUGGUGGGCAUGGAGAAGAUGGAUUCUGGGCACGGGGAGGAAAUGGAUGGUGGGUAUGGAGAGGGGAUGGAUGGUGAGCAUGGAGAGGGGAUGGAUGUUGGGUAUGGGGACGGAUAAAUGGUUUGUAUGGGGAUGGAUGGAUGGUGAGCAGGGGCAGAGGAUGGUAUGUACAGGGAUGGAUGGUGGGCACGGGGAUGGAUGGUGGGCACGGGGAUGGAUGGUGGGCACGGGGAUGGAUGGUGGGCACGGGGAUGGAUGGUGGGCACGGGGAUGGAUGGUGGGCACGGGGAUGGAUGGUGGGCACGGGGAUGGAUGGUGGGCACGGGGAUGGAUGGUGGGCACGGGGAUGGAUGGUGGGCACGGGGAUGGAUGGUGGGCACGGAGAGGGGAUGGAUGGUGGCCAGCGCAUCCCCGCCGCUGCCCGGGGCCGCUCCGCACGUGCCCGCACCCCGGCUGCGAGCAUGAGAAAAAGCCUCCAAGGGGGUGUCAGACGCAGUUACAGUGAAACACGAUAUUUAUAACAAAGUGUGGGGGAAGGUGUCACAUCACAUUACGCUGAUGCUCCGGCGCCCGAGACGGAGCGGGAUGUGGGGCGGGCCACAGGCAGCGGGAGGAGCGGCUGUGCCAGCGCUGGCUCCUCGCUGGAGCCCACCCCAGCGGGGCUUUCCCCGGGCAGGAGGGCAGGGCAGGUCUGGAAUACCC
rnacentral:lncRNA from 12 species